UACCUGAUGGUCUAGUGGUAAGGAUUCAGCACUCUUACCGCUGCGGCCCGGGUUCGAUUCCCGGUCAUGGAA